AGAUAGUAUUGCCUCAGCCCCUCCCCUUGCUUCCCCGCCGCCUUGGCGGAGCAUGUCUCGUCCACCAUAAUUGAUUCCGGUUGCUUCGUCUCCACCCCUACCGCUGCCAUUAAUGCAAGAUUUGCAAGCUUUAGAUGAAAAUCAGAUAUUUGUCUAGAGGGGUUCCUUUGGGAACAAGACUAAUGAGAUUCGAAUUAUCGGUGCA
rnacentral:misc_RNA from 1 species